rnacentral:rRNA from 1 species
AACCAACGCUGGCGGCGUGCCUAACACAUGCAAGUCGAACGCGAAAGCCCCUUCGGGGGUAAGUAGAGUGGCGUCCGGGUGAGUAACACGUGGGUAAUCUGCCUUCGGGUGGGGAAUAACCCAGGGAAACUUGGGCUAAUACCGCAUAAUGCAGCGGCACCUAAUGGUGAUUAGUUGUUAAAGCGGGGGAUCGUAAGACCUCGCGCCUGAAGAGGAGCCUGCGGCAGAUUAGCUAGUUGGUGAGGUAAUGGCUCACCAAGGCUGCGAUCUGUAGCUGGUCUGAGAGGACGGCCAGCCACACUGGCACUGACACACGGGCCAGACUCCUACGGGAGGCAGCAGUGGGGAAUUUUGGGCAAUGGGCGAAAGCCUGACCCAGCAACGCCGCGUGAGGGAGGAAAUCCUUCGGGAUGUAAACCUCACAAGCGAGGGAAGAGAGCUGCGGGCUGAAUAAUCCCGCAGUACGACGGUACCUUGCGUAAGCCACGGCUAACUACGUGC